AGUGAACGCUGGCGGUAGGCCUAACACAUGCAAGUCGAACGGCAGCACAGUAAGAGCUUGCUCUUACGGGUGGCGAGUGGCGGACGUGUGAGGAAUACAUCGGACUCUACUUUUUCGUGGGGGAUCACGUAGGGAAACUUACUCUCAUACCGCAUACGCCCUACGGGUGAAAGCAGGGGAUCUUCGGACCUUGCGCGAUUGAAUUAGCCGAUGUCGGAUUAGCUAGUUGGCGGGGUAAAGGCCCACCAAGGCGACGAUCCGUAGCUGGUCUGAGAGGAUGAUCAGCCACACUGGAACGGAAACACGGUCCAGACUCCUACGGGAGGCAGCAGUGGGGAAUAUGGGACAAUGGGCGCAAGCCUGAUACAGCCAUACCGCGUGGGUGAAGAAGGCGUUCGGGUUGUAAAGCCCGUUUGUUGGGAAAGAAAAGCAGUAGGUUAAGACCCAGCUGUUCUGACGGUACCCAAAGAAGAAGCACCGGCUAACUUCGUG
rnacentral:rRNA from 1 species